rnacentral:sRNA from 1 species
CGACUGGCAGCUCACCAACCUGAGCUUCCUCCAGGACUGCUCCUCAGAGACGUCUCUGCCAUCUGUUCUGACGCCUAGAUUCAGGGUUGCCUUGAUUGCCCAGGAGACCUGAGCACUGCUUGAGGCUGGAGACAUGUGCUUUUUGGACCCUGGCUGCAACCAGAAGCACUGGUGGCCCCCGGGGUCCUAUGUGGUGUCCUAUGACAGGGGAACGUAUAGGGAUGGGGGUCAAAUUGGAGAAGGUGGGGCAGUGCCUGGGAAGCAGGCACAGCCCCAUUCUGCUGCCACGUCUCCUCCUGACUCCUCCCUGUCCUCCUACCCCCACUUCAGGAUAGCCCUGCCUUCUCUCCCCUCCUGCACCUCUUCUGUUGUCUUGCAGCCUCUGCCGCCCCUGCUCUUCCUGUUUCAUUGGGUGGUGCUCUCUUCUGCCUGUUGUGACCUCCCUGGACCCUGUUUUAUUUGCAGGUUUUUGCCACCAGACAAGCUCUGUUCCCUGAUUCAUUCUUUUUUUGUUUUUUUUGAGACAGGGUCUCACUCUGUUGCCCAGGGUGACAGAGUGCAAUGGCACCAUCAUAGCUCACUACAGUCUCAAACUCCUGCUGACCCAUUCUUGUAUCUGGAACAAGGGGCUGGAGGCGCAGAGGUUCUGUGCCCAGGCUGGUGGGGCUGGUGGCUCCUUGGGCAUCUCCUGUUAGGGGCCCAGGAGCUUCUAUGUCUAAGGGAGAUGUGGGGCUUUCUUUUCCCCUCAAGGACCUGAUCCAGGCACACCUGUGCUGCAUCCUCGUCACCUCCUACCCAGUGCCUGCUGCCACUUGGAUGGCCCCCAGGUUAGAUAUUUUGUGACUUCCAGGUCCCUUGUCGCGGCUAAUAGGACAUGUUCUUUUGUUUCAGGAUAGAUCACUGCGACCAGAGGAAAUUGAAGGUAAAACUGUGCCCCUUGGGGGAAAGGACUGCCUAGCCCUCUAGGAAGGUGUGGGAAGGGAGGUUGAUGGGAAGAGAGGCCCCUGGGAAUGGGGCCUGGUGCAACGCGGGGUAUCUUCUGUGAAACCAGCUGCUGAAGGCGUGCACAGGAGGCAAGAGAAGUGCCCCAGCAUCCUGGGAAGCUCCUGGGUCUCUCUUUCCAUGCCUGUGGGCCUUUGGGCUGCCUUUGCCCACAGGGUCUCUGCGGGUCCUACCCCCGACCACAUCCACCCUUGCUCACUUCCCCAGAGCUCCGAGAGGCCUUCAGAGAAUUUGACAAGGACAAGGAUGGCUACAUCAACUGCCGGGACCUGGGCAACUGCAUGCGCACCAUGGGCUACAUGCCCACCGAGAUGGAGCUCAUCGAACUGUCCCAGCAGAUCAACAUGAACCUGGGUGGCCAUGUAGAUUUUGAUGACUUCGUGGAGCUAAUGGGGCCUAAACUCCUGGCAGAGACAGCAGAUAUGAUUGGUGUAAAGGAACUGCGAGAUGCUUUCCGAGAGGUAACGGACAGAGGCAGGCAGGCAUGGGGCGGCUAUUGGAAUCCUAUCUGCAGUAUAAAUACUUCAAAAGAAGCCUGAGCCCCAAGUCCCAGAUCAGGGGAGGGAGCUUGGACAGAGAAAGGUCUCUGGUAAAGGGGGGCAAUGACACUGGAGAAGGAGCUCAACUUCCCAAAGUUGCCAAUUGCCAUGUUGGGGCGACCUCUCCUCCCUUCUUGCCUUCUCUAGUUUGACACCAACGGUGAUGGGGAAAUAAGCACCAGUGAGCUGCGAGAGGCUAUGAGGAAGCUCCUGGGUCAUCAGGUGGGACACCGAGACAUAGAGGAAAUUAUCCGAGAUGUGGACCUCAAUGGGGAUGGACGAGUGGACUUUGAAGGUAGGUGGGGCUUGAAAGUGGGAGAGAAGCAAGCCAGCAGUGGCCAUCCAUGGAGCCAUCCAAUUGUGUAUCCAUCAUGCAACCAUCAGUCCACCCUAACUUUCCAACCCCCAGCCCUUUCAUCCUCCUAUCCCUCCAUCCAUGCCCCCGUCUAAUCCACCUCCAAUCCCUUCCCCUUGCAUCUAUUCAUGCAUCUGUCCAUCCAUCCGUCUAUCCAUCCUCUACCUUUCCAUUCAUCUGUGCAUUUAUCCAUCCAUUCAUCUACCUAUCUAUCCAUCUGUCCAUCAUCCAUCCAUCCAUCCAUUUAUCUACCCAUCUAUCCAUCCAUCCAUCCUCUACCUAUCCAUCCGUCUGUCCAUUUAUCCAUUCAUCCAUUCAUCUACCUAUCUAUCUGUCCAUUAUCCAUCCAUCCAUUUAUCCAUUCAUCCAUCCAUCCAUCCAUCCAUUCGUCUACAUAGCUAUCCAUCCAUCCAUCCAUCUACCUAUCCAUCCAUCUGUCCAUCCAUUCAUCUACCUAUUCAUCUAUCUGUCCAUCUUUCCAUAUCUAUCUCUCCAUCUUUUCAUCUGUUUAUCUCCUUAUCUGUCCAGAUGCCUAUUUAUCCAUUCCUCCAUCUCUAAACAAUCAUUCCUAUAGCAAUUUAUCCAUGCAUUUAUCUGUCCAUUCGUGCAUCUAUUCAUUCUUCUCUACAUUCACCCAUGAAUCUAUCUACGUAUUCAUCUACUCAUAUAGAUCUCUCUCUGUGUUCAUACUUCUAAACUUCCAUUCACACACUCAUGUCUCUUUGUCUGCAUAUACUUCUACCCAUACUUGCCUUGAUCUAUCCAUCUGUUCAGUCAUUUCCCCAUCUAUAUCCAUCUACUCAUCCAUUCACCCAUCCCUGUGUCCAUCUGCACCCAUCCUUCUCUAUCCAUUUAUCUGUCUACCCAUGCACGCAUCCGUCCACAGUAGGUGUUUUCUGAACAUUACGUUCCUCAACUUGACGCUCAGGCUCCCUAAGAUCUGAUCACAGCUCACCUCCCCAGCCACAACUCACAGUCCUUCAUUCACACUCCACCAAAAUACUUGUGAUCAGUGAAGCUGCUAGGGUCCCUCUUGAAUACACUGAUCUUUUUGCCAGGAGGGCUUUUUUGUUGUUGUUUGUUUGAGACAGAGUCUCACUCUGUUGCCCAGGCUGGAGUG